UUCCACCUCUGCCGUCGGCAUUGCUUCGGGCCACGUGGACGACUUCAUAUCGACGCUGGUGUUCAGGUCGCUGCGCGAGGAACACACGGCUGUAUACACGUGCCUUGCUGCCAAUGAGGCCGCCUCCAUCAAUUACUCAGCGCCGCUUGUCGUUUACGCUCCGCCAAGAUGGCGGCUGGAGCCCACAGACACAACGGUCACGACAGGUGAGCGCAUAAUACUGGACUGUCAGGCUGACGGAACGCCAGAACCGAGAGUCCGCUGGAAAAAGUCUGCAGGGCUUCAGGCCACGGAAUUUCGCACGGUCAUCAGCAGCUCUCGCAUG
rnacentral:lncRNA from 1 species